UUUGAUAUGAUUCGGCACAAGAUGUAGAACCCGGAGUUCAUUAGUUCAUUUGGUUUGAUUAUGGUGCAAUUUGUAGUUUUGAUAUUGUUUGAUAUUCUUUAAGGCCUCGAGUAAGUCUGUCUUAAAUUAUGAAACUUGUAGAUAUGUUCGUAUGGGGUCCCGGGGGCCUCAGUGUUUAUUCAGAUGGUCUAUAUGCCAUUUUCUCCUGUUUUUAAAUGCUUGUUCUAAUAAUUGGUUUUCAUUAUUGCAUUCUCGUCUAAGAGACCGUGUUCGCGUAGAGCUACUAUGGGUGCAGACAUUUUUCCCCUGGUGGUUGCAAGGAGGCAAAUAAGUUCGUGAAGCAUAAGGGACCUUUGUCUUCACGUUGGAAUGAAGAUUUACACGAUCACGUAUAAGGGAAGCUGGUAAGAGGAUUGGUGAUUUGUUCACAGCAUUCACGACCAAUAGAUCGCAAUUGCUAUGUUGCUAGGUAAGUGAUAAAUGUGUUAGCGACCGGUAUGUCGCGUUCGUGAAGCAGAGUUGGCAGCUGGUGAGUUUUAUUCUUUGCAAUCUCGAUGUAUUGUAUCUGGCUAUAAUAAAAGUGCACUCUAUUUCGGGGGUCAUGAUAUUUUUAUCUCUUUUUGGGUUAGAGAGUUCGGAUUUGGACGAUUUUGAGGAGAUUUCACGUGAUGGAUUGCUGCAUUUAGUUAUAUUUCAUAAUUACAUCUUUGUUUAUAUAAUUAAAUUAGUUAUUUGAAUUGGGAAAAAUGAGAAUUUUUUGGUAAAGUGAUUAUUUUAAAGCCGAUUUGAUAUCGGAAUUGGAUAAUUUUUGUAUGGUUGGACUCGUAUCGGAAUGAAUAUUCGAA
rnacentral:lncRNA from 1 species